rnacentral:rRNA from 1 species
GAAUUCGCCCUUAGAGUUUGAUCCUGGCUCAGGAUGAACGCUGGCGGCGUGCCUAACACAUGCAAGUCGAACGUUUAACCCGCUUUUCGGAGCGGUUAUAGAGUGGCGAACUGGUGAGUAACACGUAACCAACCUGCCUUGUACUUUGGGAUAACUUAUGGAAACAUAUGCUAAUACCGAAUAAUCUUGAGAGCCCGCAUGAGCACUCAAGCAAAGUGUUAUUGUAGCGGUACAAGAUGGGGUUGCGGCCCAUUAGAUAGAUGGUAGGGUAACGGCCUACCAAGUCAACGAUGGGUAGCCGAACUGAGAGGUUGAUCGGCCACAUUGGGACUGAGAUACGGCCCAGACUCCUACGGGAGGCAGCAGUGGGGAAUAUUGCGCAAUGGAGGCAACUCUGACGCAUCAACGCCGUGUGCAGGAUGACGGCCUUCGGGUUGUAAACUGCUUUCAGUAGGGAAGAAAUAAUUGACGGUACCUACACAAGAAGCUCCGGCUAACUACGUGCCAGCAGCCGCGGUAACACGUAGGGAGCAAGCGUUAUCCGGAUUCAUUGGGCGUAAAGCGCGCGCAGGCGGGUAUUUAAGCGGGACUUUUAACCCGAGGGCUCAACCCCCGGUCGGGUUCCGAACUGGAUACCUUGGGUGCGGUAGGGGCAGGCGGAAUUCCAUGUGUAGCGGUGAAAUGCGCAGAUAUAUGGAAGAACACCGAUGGCGAAGGCAGCCUGCUGGGCCGACACUGACGCUCAGGUGCGAAAGCUAGGGGAGCAAACAGGAUUAGAUACCCUGGUAGUCCUAGCCGUAAACGAUGGACACUAGGUGUGGGGGUCAUGUGACUUACGCGCCGCAGCUAACGCA